GACGAACGCUGGCGGCGUGCUUAACACAUGCAAGUCGAACGAUGAAGCCGGAGCUUGCUCUGGUGAAUUAGUGGCGAACGGGUGAGUAACACGUGAGUAACCUGCCCUUGACUCUGGGGUAACUGCUAGAAAUGGUAGCUAAUACCGGAUACGACCCUCGGAGGCAUCUCCAGGGGGUGGAAAGAAUUUCGGUCAAGGAUGGACUCGCGGCCUAUCGGCUAGUUGGUGAGGUAACGGCUCACCAAGGCGACGACGGGUAGCCGGCCUGGGAGGGUGACCGGCCACACUGGGACUGAGACACGGCCCAGACUCCUACGGGAGGCAGCAGUGGGGAAUAUUGCACAAUGGGCGCAAGCCUGAUGCAGCAACGCCGCGUGAGGGAUGACGGCCUUCGGGUUGUAAACCUCUUUUAGCAGGGAAGAAGCGAAAGUGACGGUACCUGCAGAAAAAGCACCGGCUAACUACGUGCCAGCCGCCGCCGUAA
rnacentral:rRNA from 1 species